GACGAACGCUGGCGGCGUGCCUAAUACAUGCAAGUCGAGUGGACUUUCAAGAAGCUUGCUUUUUGAAAGUUAGCGGCGGACGGGUGAGUAACACGUGGGCGACCUGCCUGUAAGACGGGGAUAACUCCGGGAAACCGGGGCUAAUACCGGAUAAUAUCUUUCUUCGCAUGAAGGAAGGUUGAAAGGCGGCGCAAGCUGCCGCUUGCAGAUGGGCCCGCGGCGCAUUAGCUAGUUGGUGAGGUAACGGCUCACCAAGGCGACGAUGCGUAGCCGACCGGGGAGGGUGAUCGGCCACACUGGGACUUGGACACGGCCCAGACUCCUACGGGAGGCAGCAGUAGGGAAUCUUCCGCAAUGGACGAAAGUCUGACGGAGCAACGCCGCGUGAGCGAAGAAGGUCUUCGGAUCGUAAAGCUCUGUUGUCAGGGAAGAACAAGUACCGUUCGAAUAGGGCGGUACCUUGACGGUACCUGACCAGAAAGCCACGGCUAACUACGUGCCAGCCGCCGCCGUAA
rnacentral:rRNA from 1 species